GCCUGGGUGGCUCAGUCAGUUAAGCGUCUGACUUCAACUCAGGUCAUGAUCUUGUGGUUUGUGAGUUUGAGCCCCAUAUCGGGCU
rnacentral:tRNA from 1 species